AUUGAACGCUGGCGGCAGGCCUAACACAUGCAAGUCGAGCGGGGUUUUCGGACCUAGCGGCGGACGGGUGAGUAAUGCGUAGGAAGCUGCCCGAUAGAGGGGGAUACCAGUUGGAAACGACUGUUAAUACCGCAUAAUGUCUACGGACCAAAGUGUGGGACCUUCGGGCCACAUGCUAUCGGAUGCGCCUACGUGGGAUUAGCUAGUUGGUGAGGUAAUGGCUCACCAAGGCGACGAUCUCUAGCUGGUUUAAGAGGAUGAUCAGCCACACUGGAACUGAGACACGGUCCAGACUCCUACGGGAGGCAGCAGUGGGGAAUAUUGGACAAUGGGCGCAAGCCUGAUCCAGCCAUGCCGCGUGUGUGAAGAAGGCCUUCGGGUUGUAAAGCACUUUCAGCGAGGAGGAAGGGUGGUGUGUUAAUAGCACAUCAUUUUGACGUUACUCGCAGAAGAAGCACCGGCUAACUCUGUGCCAGCCGCCGCCGUAA
rnacentral:rRNA from 1 species